AGGGCCGGCGAAGGAAAGACGCGGCGCGCCGGCUUCCGAACCGCAACUUGCUGCGAGACCUGUCACUUCCCCGCGGUGCCCAGUCCUCGCCCCUCCCUGGCGCUCGCGCCUCCUCUUUUCUUCCUGCUCCUCAGCACGGAGCUCCCCUCGACGUUGCUCACGUGCCAGACUCGGGACCGCGAGCGGCGUCCGCACCCGCACGCACACCCGGCCACGCUCGCACUCGCGCGGCCGCGGGGCCGGCUGCUUACCUCCGGGGCCUCAUGGUCGCGUCGCUAGCCUGGAUGCCCUGGACAUCAUUCCGAACAGCACAAUUCAAGGGUGGCUGAAACAACAAAAAUGUAACGUCUUACAGAUCUGAAGGCUUCCGGGUCGAUUCUGGACUGUGAUGAGAAUCUGUGCCAAGCCUCUCUCCUGGCUUCUGGUAGACUCGGGCAUUCCUUAGCUUGUAAAUGGCUGCUGCUUGUGUCAUCACAUUGUCUUCCCUUUCUACUUAUCUGUCCCCAUGCCCCAAUUUUUCCUUUUCAGGACACCAGUCAGAUUAGGACCCACCCUAAUGAUCUCAUCUUAACUUGAUUAACUACAAGGACCCUAUUUUUAAGUACACAUUUACAGAGACUGGGGGGUAGGACUUCAACAUCUUUUUGGAGGGAUGCAGUUCAACCCAUAACAAGAAUCAUUGUUAGAAAUGAUUUUGCUUCUUCACUGAAAAAUUAAUAUCAUUCUGCAGAGAACUGACUUGCUGCACAUGGCACAGAUUUUUUGCAUUUAUCAUAGUAAAAGAAAUCAGUCACAAAAGUUUGUUUUAGACUGCUACAUACCUAUCACAAAUACAAAUUAUUUCCAACAUCAAAAGUUAAUAAAGCAAGCACUGUCACCCAAAUUAUAUUGUAUCUAUUGAGCACUCCCUUAUGUACAGAAGAGGAAAAUGAGAAAUGAACAGGAAGUUUAACAUUCAUAAAAACUGUUGGCUGGGCGCGGUGGGUCACUCCUGUAAUCCCAGCACUUUGGGAGACCGAGGUGGGUGGAUCACCUGAUAUCAGGAGUUCAAUACCAGCUGGCCAACAUGGUGACACCGCGUCUCUACUGAAAAUACAAAAAUUAGCCGGGCGUGGUGGCGGGCGCCUGUAGUCCCAGCUACUCCGGGGGCUGAGGCGGGAAAAUCGCUUGAACCCGGGAGGGGGAGAUUGCAAUGAGCCGAGAUUGCGCCACUGCAUUCCAGCCUGGGCGACAGAGCAAGACUCCAUCUCAAAAAAAUAAUAAUAAUUCAUAAAAAUUGUGACAAACUUGUGUUUGUCUAUUAAACUGGCAAAAAUCCUAACGUUUGACAACACACUGUUAAAAUACAGCUUUAAAGUUUUAAAAUAAUUUUUUGGUGAGGCUAUAGAUAAACCCAUACUUUGAUACAUUCCUGGUGGGGGUACCAAGGGGGCACAACAUUUAGAGAGGGAAAUUUGGUGAAAUCUCUCAAAAUUUAAAAUAUACUCUAUGACUUAGCAAUCCCUUUCCUGGGAAAUUAUCCCAGAGAUAUAAGUGCAUCUUAUACAGCAAAUGAUGUGUAUACCUGGAUUGAUUUUUAUAAUAGCAAAAGAAUGGAAAUAGCCUACGUGUCCACCUACAAGGACUGAAUAAAUAAACAAUAGUACACUGAGAUGUAAAAUCCUUCUGUGUAUUUAUAUGGGAAGAGCUCCACAAUACAUUGUUAAGUACAGGAAGCUGCAUACCAAACAUCACAUAUGCUGCCUUUUGUGUGAGAAAGGAAGGGGAUAAUGAGAAUAUAUGUUAUACUUAUUUAUA
ensembl:lncRNA LIN28B-AS1 LIN28B antisense RNA 1